ACCAUCCACAAUGAAGUUUAGUAUCGUUGUAUUUUUGGUAUUUAUAAUGAUGAUCUAUUCAAUAUCAACAUCUGAUCAAGAACUUCCUCGCGGCCUAGACGACUAUAUUCCAAAAAAAGACGAUUGUAAUUCCACUCUCUGCUUCAUAAUUAAAUGCCCUGGUCGACCAAUAUGCAGUAAAGAUGAUAUUCUCGUACCACGUGAUGUGGACAGGUGUAUCUGUUGCGACAUGUGUAUUCCAAAGACAGUUUUAGGGGUACAAUCGUCCAAGAAACGUAACUAUUUCCACCAACGUACCAUGAAACGUUAUCAAGAUUAAUGGAAAAUUAAAUAAAUUUUAUUGUAUUUACGUUAUGUGUAAUUUCAUUUUGCAAUAAAGAAAA